rnacentral:piRNA from 1 species
UGAGUUGACAAAUUGUUGAGUGGGUAAGC